rnacentral:rRNA from 1 species
GAUAAACGCUGGCGGCGUGCCUAACACAUGCAAGUCGAACGAAGCUCCUGGACUUAAGUUUUCGGACAAGAGAAAGGGAUGACUUAGUGGCGGACGGGUGAGUAAUGCGUGAGCAACCUGCCUUUCAGAGGGGGACAACAGUUGGAAACGACUGCUAAUACCGCAUAAUGUAUUCGAGUGGCAUCACUUGGAUACCAAAGAUUAUAUCGCUGAAAGAUGGGCUCACGUCUGAUUAGCUAGUUGGUGAGGUAAUGGCUCACCAAGGCUGCGAUCAGUAGCCGGACUGAGAGGUCGAACGGCCACAUUGGGACUGAGAUAUGGCCCAGACUCCUACGGGAGGCAGCAGUGGGGAAUAUUGGGCAAUGGGCGCAAGCCUGACCCAGCAACGCCGCGUGAAGGAAGAAGGCUUUCGGGUUGUAAACUUCUUUUGGCAGGGACGAAACAAAUGACGGUACCUGCAGAAUAAGCACCGGCUAACUACGUGCCAGCAGCCGCCGUAAAAC